GGAGUUAGCCGGUGCUUCUUCUGUGAGUGAUGUCCUUCCUGCCGGCUAUUAACCCGCAGGCCUUCUUCCUCACUGAAAGUGCUUUACAACCCGAAGGCCUUCUUCACACACGCGGCAUGGCUGGAUCAGGGUUGCCCCCAUUGUCCAAUAUUCCCCACUGCUGCCUCCCGUAGGAGUCUGGGCCGUGUCUCAGUCCCAGUGUGGCUGAUCAUCCUCUCAGACCAGCUACGGAUCGUCGCCUUGGUGAGCCGUUACCUCACCAACCAGCUAAUCCGACAUAGGCUCAUCCGAUAGCGCGAGGCCCGAAGGUCCCCCGCUUUCCCCCGUAGGGCGUAUGCGGUAUUAGCCUGGGUUUCCCCAGGUUAUCCCCCACUACCGGGCAGAUUCCUAUGCAUUACUCACCCGUCCGCCGCUCGCCACCAGGGAGCAAGCUCCCCGUGCUGCCGCUCGACUUGCAUGUGUUAGGCCUGCCGCCAGCGUUCAAUCUGAGCCAGAAUCGAAACCCUGACUGAGCGGCGGUCGGCGACGGACGGCG
rnacentral:rRNA from 1 species